CGCCAAUUAAUCCAACUUCCCAGGAUGUAAUAGCUGCAAACAUCAGUCCACUUGGGAGCUUCUGUAGCCUGUUGCUUGUGCAGCUUACCCUAGGGGACCUUACAGACAGAC
rnacentral:snoRNA from 1 species